rnacentral:misc_RNA from 1 species
GAUGAAGAACGUAGCGAAAUGCGAUAAGUAAUGUGAAUUGCAGAAUUCAGUGAAUCAUCGAAUCUUUGAACGCACAUUGCGCCCCUUGGUAUUCCGGGGGGCAUGCCUGUUCGAGCGUCAUUAUAACCCCUCAAGCUCAGCUUGGUGUUGGGGCCUGCCGACUGGCAGCCCUUAAAAUCAGUGGCGGUGCCGUCCGGCUCCGAGCGUAGUAAUUCUUCUCGCUCUGGAGGUCCGGUCGUGUGCUCGCCAGCAACCCCCAAUUUUUUUCAGGUUGACCUCGGAUCAGGUAGGGAUACCCGCUGAACUUAAGCAUAUCAAUAAGCGGAGGA